rnacentral:rRNA from 1 species
CCUACGGGACGCACCAGUGGGGAAUUUUGGACAAUGGGCGAAAGCCUGAUCCAGCAAUGCCGCGUGCAGGAUGAAGGCCCUCGGGUUGUAAACUGCUUUUGUACGGAACGAAAAGACUCUCUCUAAUAAAGAGGGUUGAUGACGGUACCGUAAGAAUAAGCACCGGCUAACUACGUGCCAGCAGCCGCGGUAAUACGUAGGGUGCGAGCGUUAAUCGGAAUUACUGGGCGUAAAGCGUGCGCAGGCGGUUAUGUAAGACAGAGGUGAAAUCCCCGGGCUCAACCUGGGAACGGCCUUUGUGACUGCAUGGCUAGAGUGCGGCAGAGGGGGAUGGAAUUCCGCGUGUAGCAGUGAAAUGCGUAGAUAUGCGGAGGAACACCGAUGGCGAAGGCAAUCCCCUGGGCCUGCACUGACGCUCAUGCACGAAAGCGUGGGGAGCAAACAGGAUUAGAUACCCCGGUAGUC